GGACCGUCUGUCUGGUUGGAUAAAGACAUAUUCUGGCAGAUACAGAAUGACCUCAGAAGCAGUAAGAGCUGAUACGGUCCAGGGAAAACAUUUGGUCAGAGUCUUUAUGCACUAAAAGACUGAGAAAACCAAGGUGAGAGUUGUGCCAAAGUGGACCUUUACCUCAGUCCUUGUGGAAAAGAACCAAAGGCAGCCAAAGGCUAAGAGCCAAGAUGCAAAGAAUGCUGGGAAGAAGAGACAGACUUCUCAUGGGAUCUGCACUGUGUGCAUGUUCAUUGCCAGGACACAGGCAGAGGGAAUCCUUCUGUGCCCACAGGCAGAAAUCACAGUGUUCAGAUGACAAGGUGGGCUGUACCAGUAUCAAGUGAUCAGUGAAGAGAUGCAGGCAACCUGUCCGUUCCUGUG